UGGGAAACUGGUAUUUCUUCGGACAUUUUGCAAGGUGCUGCAUGGUUGUCGUCAGCUCGUGCCGUGAGGUGUCGGGUUAAGUCCCAUAACGAGCGCAACCCCUACUGUUAGUUGCCAUCAGGUCAUGCUGGGGACUCUAACAAAACUGCCCGCGUAAGCGUGGAGGAAGGUGGGGAUGACGUCAAAUCAGCACGGCCCUUACGUCCAGGGCUACACACGUGCUACAAUGGCCGGUACAGAGGGCAGCCACUUGGUGACAAGGAGCAAAUCUCAAAAAGCCGGUCUCAGUUCGGAUCGGAGUCUGCAACUCGACUCCGUGAAGUUGGAUUCGCUAGUAAUCGUAGAUCAGCAAUGCUACGGUGAAUACGUUCCCGGGCCUU
rnacentral:rRNA from 1 species